GAAAAAUAAACAUCACAUACAAACGUUACCAAAUAUGCAACGUUACCAAAUCAAGUUUCAAGUUUCAAGUUUCAACGCAUCUCCUUUGCAGUCCAUUUUCUUCACAUCGAGAUCGAAUUUCUUUCUCGUUCUCUUCCGACUCAAGUUUAUCUAUCCAAAUCGGUUUUGCUUAUUCUCGAUUUAGGUCACAUACCUCAAUCGGUUCAUAUUCUUAUUCUCGAUCAAGGUUUUGCGAUUUCAGCUCGAUUUGAAUCAUUCUCGAAAUUUCGAUUCAGUUUUUCGAUUUCGAUCUCAAUUUUGGAAGAAAGUAGUGAGGAAGAAAGGAUUAAGGAUUGAUCUUCAAAUUUGGGAUAGUUUGUUUGAGAUAUGGUGAACCACGAGUAGAACAUGUUUGUGAAUUUGUCUCAGUGAAUAUAGGUGCUAGAGUAUCUGGCUGUGGGCAAGAUACUGACAUUUGAACAUAUCAAUGGUGGUCUCCCAUGUCAUGGAAUGGAGAGCAGGUCUAAGAGUCCUUGUUGUUGAUGAUGACCCAACAUGACUUAGGAUCCUUGAAAAGAUGCUCAAGAAGUGUUCCUAUGAAGGCAUGACUGGUCCAAGGCGGUAGAAAUCUUAGUAAAGGAUUUGAAAGUGUUUGCUACUUUUAAUGAAGAAUUGUUCAAGGAAAUCACACAGCUUUUGACAUUGGAGAAUUUUAGGUUUGAGUAUAUAUAUUGGCAUCUUGUGGGUUUUGGUGUUAUCGUUGUCCAAAAAGUGAGCAUUGAUAGGAUUUCGAACAAUUUCCAGUUUUAAAAUUGUAAAUAGGCUACUUGAAUUUGUAUAUAGGACAAUUGUUUAUGUUGUUGUCUUCCUGGGAUGUGUUCUGUUCCAUAGUGCUCCAUUGGAUGCAGGGACAAUUUUCACAGUUCUUACAACAUUGAGGAUCAUGUCAAAACUAGUUAGGAUGAUCCCUGAGGCUCUCUCUAUUCUUAUCCAAGUUGUGGUAUAUUUCGAUCGGCUCAAUACCUUUUUGCUUGCUGAAGAGUUAGGCAAUAAUAAAAUUGCAAGGAGUGUUAAGCAAAGUUCAGUUGGUGACAACAAUGCUGUAGAAAUUGAAGGUGGAAACUUUACUUGGGGUUCCAGACCACCUGCAGAGAUGAACUUGGUUGACUGGUUUAAGGGAAUGGUAACAAGUUGUCGCAGCGAUGAGCUAGUCAAGCAGAUAAAUACAUUUUUCUAGGAUUAUCAUAAGGACUAAGUUUUUUAUGUAUACUAUGUAUCCCUUUUCCUUUUCUUUUUAAUAUGAAAUAUUCAUAGAGUUUAAGUGCUAUAAGUAUUUUUUUUCUUUAUUCAUUUUAUUUGCAUCACGAAGCACACUUGUAUAAUGAUUAAUGAAAGAGGCUAUAAAAAUUUCGUUUUGUGAA